rnacentral:rRNA from 2 species
GAACGCUGGCGGCGUGCCUAAUACAUGCAAGUCGAACGAACUCUGGUAUUGAUUGGUGCUUGCAUCAUGAUUUACAUUUGAGUGAGUGGCGAACUGGUGAGUAACACGUGGGAAACCUGCCCAGAAGCGGGGGAUAACACCUGGAAACAGAUGCUAAUACCGCAUAACAACUUGGACCGCAUGGUCCGAGUUUGAAAGAUGGCUUCGGCUAUCACUUUUGGAUGGUCCCGCGGCGUAUUAGCUAGAUGGUGAGGUAACGGCUCACCAUGGCAAUGAUACGUAGCCGACCUGAGAGGGUAAUCGGCCACAUUGGGACUGAGACACGGCCCAAACUCCUACGGGAGGCAGCAGUAGGGAAUCUUCCACAAUGGACGAAAGUCUGAUGGAGCAACGCCGCGUGAGUGAAGAAGGGUUUCGGCUCGUAAAACUCUGUUGUUAAAGAAGAACAUAUCUGAGAGUAACUGUUCAGGUAUUGACGGUAUUUAACCAGAAAGCCACGGCUAACUACGUGCCAGCAGCCGCGGUAAUACGUAGGUGGCAAGCGUUGUCCGGAUUUAUUGGGCGUAAAGCGAGCGCAGGCGGUUUUUUAAGUCUGAUGUGAAAGCCUUCGGCUCAACCGAAGAAGUGCAUCGGAAACUGGGAAACUUGAGUGCAGAAGAGGACAGUGGAACUCCCAUGUGUAGCGGUGAAAUGCGUAGAUAUAUGGAAGAACACCAGUGGCGAAGGCGGCUGUCUGGUCUGUAACUGACGCUGAGGCUCGAAAGUAUGGGUAGCAAACAGGAUUAGAUACCCUGGUAGUCCAUACCGUAAACGAUGAAUGCUAAGUGUUGGAGGGUUUCCGCCCUUCAGUGCUGCAGCUAACGCAUUAAGCAUUCCGCCUGGGGAGUACGGCCGCAAGGCUGAAACUCAAAGGAAUUGACGGGGGCCCGCACAAGCGGUGGAGCAUGUGGUUUAAUUCGAAGCUACGCGAAGAACCUUACCAGGUCUUGACAUACUAUGCAAAUCUAAGAGAUUAGACGUUCCCUUCGGGGACAUGGAUACAGGUGGUGCAUGGUUGUCGUCAGCUCGUGUCGUGAGAUGUUGGGUUAAGUCCCGCAACGAGCGCAACCCUUAUUAUCAGUUGCCAGCAUUAAGUUGGGCACUCUGGUGAGACUGCCGGUGACAAACCGGAGGAAGGUGGGGAUGACGUCAAAUCAUCAUGCCCCUUAUGACCUGGGCUACACACGUGCUACAAUGGAUGGUACAACGAGUUGCGAACUCGCGAGAGUAAGCUAAUCUCUUAAAGCCAUUCUCAGUUCGGAUUGUAGGCUGCAACUCGCCUACAUGAAGUCGGAAUCGCUAGUAAUCGCGGAUCAGCAUGCCGCGGUGAAUACGUUCCCGGGCCUUGUACACACCGCCCGUCACACCAUGAGAGUUUGUAACACCCAAAGUCGGUGGGGUAACCUUUUAGGAACCAGCCGCCUAAGGUGGGACAGAUGAUUAGGGUGAA